UCUUUUUGUGCAAUCCGCGCCACGAUGCUGCAACCAAUUUUACACCAGCUGCAAUUCUACCAGAAUAGUCCUUGCAAGUAGUUCCCCGAGGAGAAAACAGAUUCUGGGAAAUAUUAAUCUGAAAUUUGAUACAGCAAAGUCAAACUUUGAAGAAAACUUGGACAAGUCAUCUUUUUCAAGUCCAAUAGAAUAUGUCCGUGAAACUGCCAGACAGAAGAUACUAGAAGUAGCUCAAAGGUUGUAUCAAGAAGAGGUAAUUCUUAUCCUUCAGUGUGCAGCCAUGGACAGUAUGAACAGUGAACCAUCUGAUGAUUAAUUAAUGCAGCCACCACCAGAGUUGAUAAUUGGAGCUGACACAAUAGUAACAGAUGGAAAGAAUAUUUUUGAAAAGCCAAGCAGCAAAGACCAUGCAAUUCAAAUGUUAACAAGUUUCAGUGGAAAAAGUCACAAGGUUUUAACUUGUGUAGUGUUGGUUACACCUAAAUCUUCAAAAACAUUCAAAGGCAGAGAUACAUUAAAUGACCAACUCGAUAUCACACAGUUUGAGGAAAUAUCUGAAGUCUUCAUGCCAGAAUUACCCAAAGAAGUCAUCAAAUCUUAUGUUGACACUGGAGAAUCAAUGGACAAAGCCGGUGGAUAUGGGAUUCAAGCCAUUGGUGGAAGUUUAAUCAGUGGGAUUCGUGGCGAUUACUUCAAUGUUAUGGGAUUUCCUCUUCACAAAUUUUGUGUGGAACUAAGAAAUAUAUACAAAAUGUAGCUAUUUUUAUGUUGUGUAGAUAUUAUUACAUUUAAUUGUAAAUUGAUUAUUUUUAUACUAUAUGCACACAUACAUGUAUAUGUCUACUCCACUUUCUAAUGAAAUAAUUUGAUGGAUCACUAAUUUACUUACCAAUACAUGUACCAGUAAUAAAUAAUAAUAUGUACUUUGUAAUAAAACAGUAUCUCAAG
rnacentral:misc_RNA from 1 species